rnacentral:snRNA from 1 species
AAAUCAGAAGUAGCUGGUUUGUGAUCAC